GUGAGGAAUAUUGGUCAAUGGGCGCAAGCCUGAACCAGCCAUGCCGCGUGCAGGAAGACGGUCCUAUGGAUUGUAAACUGCUUUUAUUUGGGAAUAAACUCCGGUACGUGUACCGGCCUGAAGGUACCAAAUGAAUAAGCACCGGCUAACUCCGUGCCAGCAGCCGCGGUAAUACGGAGGGUGCAAGCGUUAUCCGGAAUCAUUGGGUUUAAAGGGUCCGCAGGCGGUCUUAUAAGUCAGUGGUGAAAGCCUACAGCUCAACUGUAGAACUGCCAUUGAUACUGUAGGACUUGAAUUCGAUCGAAGUGGGCGGAAUAUGUCAUGUAGCGGUGAAAUGCUUAGAUAUGACAUAGAACACCGAUAGCGAAGGCAGCUCACUAAGUCUGAAUUGACGCUCAUGGACGAAAGCGCGGGUAGCAAACAGGAUUAGAUACCCUGGUAGUCC
rnacentral:rRNA from 1 species